rnacentral:rRNA from 1 species
UACAGAGGUCUCAACCGUUGUUCGGAUUCAUUGGGCGUAAAGGGUGCGUAGGCGGUCUGGCAAGUCGGAUGUGAAAUCUCAGGGCUCAACCCUGAAACUGCAUUCGAUACUGCUAGGCUUGAGUACUGGAGGGGAGACUGGAAUUUACGGUGUAGCAGUGAAAUGCGUAGAGAUCAUGAGGAAGACCAGUGGCGAAGGCGGGUCUCUGGACAGUUCCUGACACUGAGACACGAAGGCCAGGGGAGCAAACGGG